rnacentral:lncRNA from 1 species
GGGUUCUUCCGCGUUCCCCUUUUGCGGCACCGACACGUCGCGGGGAAUAGCUCUGCGUUUUGCAGUACUCGUACAGUUGGGCCACCAAACGACCUGCCGACUCUGCAUACCUCAUACUGACUCCUCCCCCCUCAAGAAUGUUACUGGACACUCGAUGUCUAUGUAACACGAUUAAAAAAACAUAGCACAAAAAUAAAUA